GUACCGUGAGGGAAAGAUGAAAAGUACCCCGAUGAGGGGAGUGAAACAGUACCUGAAACCGAACGCCUACAAUCAGUCGGAGCCUCCUUGCGGGGUGACGGCGUACCUUUUGUAUAAUGGGUCAGCGACUUAUAUUUAGUAGCAAGGUUAAGCGAAUAGCGGAGCCGUAGCGAAAGCGAGUGUUAACUGCGCGUUUAGUUGCUAGGUAUAGACCCGAAACCCGGUGAUCUAGCCAUGGGCAGGUUGAAGGUUGAGUAACAUCAACUGGAGGACCGAACCCACUAACGUUGAAAAGUUAGGGGAUGACUUGUGGCUGGGGGUGAAAGGCCAAUCAAACCGGGAGAUAGCUGGUUCUCCCCGAAAUCUAUUUAGGUAGAGCCUCGGACGAAUUCCAUUGGGGGUAGAGCACUGUUAAGGCUAGGGGGUCAUCCCGACUUACCAACCCUUUGCAAACUCCGAAUACCAAUGAGAACUAUCCGGGAGACACACGGCGGGUGCUAACGUCCGUCGUGAAGAGGGAAACAACCCAGACCGCCAGCUAAGGUCCCAAAAUAUUGCUAAGUGGGAAACGAUGUGGGAAGGCAUAGACAGCUAGGAGGUUGGCUUAGAAGCAGCCACCCUUUAAAGA
rnacentral:rRNA from 1 species